CCUACGGGUGGCAGCAGUGAGGAAUAUUGGUCAAUGGGCGAGAGCCUGAACCAGCCAAGUCGCGUGAGGGAGUACUGCCCUAUGGGUUGUAAACCUCUUUUGUCGGGGAGCAAAAGCCGGACGUGUCCGGCUGUGAGAGUUCCCGAAGAAAAAGCAUCGGCAAACUCCGUGCCAGCAGCCGCGGUAAUACGGAGGAUGCGAGCGUUAUCCGGAUUUAUUGGGUUUAAAGGGUGUGCAGGCGGAUUUUUAAGUCAGCGGUAAAAUCGUGGGGCUCAACCCCAUCCAGCCGUUGAAACUGGGGAUCUAGAGUGUGCGAGAGGUAUGCGGAAUGCGUGGUGUAGCGGUGAAAUGCAUAGAUAUCACGCAGAACCCCGAUUGCGAAGGCAGCAUACCGGUGCACAACUGACGCUCAGGCACGAAAGCGUGGGUAUCGAACAGGAUUAGAUACCCUGGUAGUC
rnacentral:rRNA from 1 species